UACGUAGGCAGCAAGCGUUGUUCGGAGUUACUGGGCGUAAAGGGUGUGUAGGCGGUUCUUUAAGUUUGGUGUGAAAUCUCCCGGCUCAACUGGGAGGGUGCGCUACAAACUGCCGGGCUAGAGUGCGGGAGAGGAGAGUGGAAUUCCUGGUGUAGCGGUGAAAUGCGUAGAUAUCAGGAGGAACACCGGUGGUGUAAACGGCUCUCUGGACCGUAACUGACGCUGAGGCACGAAAGCGUGGGUAGCAAACAGG
rnacentral:rRNA from 1 species